rnacentral:ncRNA from 1 species
AGUAAUCCGAUGAAAAAGAGGCUUAUCAUAAAGUAAGUUACAGAGAAAAAGACAUUAGCUGAGAGUCUUUGCGAUGCAUUUAUGUUAAGGGACACUUUGGAGGAAUUAUCAGGAAAUGGAUAAUCGUAUGACCGCGUUAAGGUGUUAAGCAGCAUUUCAAUUCGAGAUGAAAAAAGGUGGCACCGCGUGGAAUACGUCCUUUGU